UUCGUUAUAGCUGUGCAUCCAGAAUUUUUGUUUCCCAUCUUCCCCAAUCUUCCGUGUGCACUAAGAAAUUUCUUUAACAUUUCUGUAAACGACAGAAUAUGCAUUUAUGAUUACUGCAAGAAUUUGAAGUUUUUGCCUUUGCAAUUUCUUCGAGUACUUGUUUCUCAAUGGUCAGUGAUGUAGUACUACUUGGUUUGACUAGAUAAAUACUCUAAGCAUAUCAUGGCUAGGGCAGUCAAGUUCGGAGAAGCAAAUGGGCCAAGUUUGUUUUAUUCUCAUACAUGUUGAUAUGGGGACAACGGGGGCUUCUGAUUUUGGUGUACUUGGUUGAUGCUCUGCAGUGUCAUGUCUUUCUAUUUUUCUUUAUGUUCAUUUGGUUGAUGCUCUGUACGGCACACAUAAGUUAUGUAUCGGUGCAGAUUACUUUACUUAGUAGAAACUAGUUGAUAA
rnacentral:lncRNA from 1 species